UACGUAGGGUGCGAGCGUUAAUCGGAAUUACUGGGCGUAAAGCGUGUGUAGGCGGUCUCGUAAGUCGGAUGUGAAAGCCCUGGGCUUAACUUGGGAAUUGCGCUCGAAACUACGUGGCUCGAGUAUGGCAGAGGAAGGUGGAAUUCCACGUGUAGCGGUGAAAUGCGUAGAGAUGUGGAGGAACACCGAUGGCGAAGGCAGCCUUCUGGGCCAAUACUGACGCUCAUGCACGAAAGCGUGGGGAGCAAACAGG
rnacentral:rRNA from 1 species